rnacentral:lncRNA from 1 species
AUGAUUUCAGAUUGUAUUUUUAAGGCAAACACCAUUAGUUGUCUGCUCUUAAUUCAUUCCUGUUUCUUCCUUGCUAAUAGAUGCCUAACUGUUGAUGUCCAGCCCCGUGUGAUGCAACAUGAUUGGUCUCCCCUUUCAUUUCUCUCAUCCCUUUCCUCCAUAAAAAACAAACAAACAAACAAACAGAAAAAAAAAGAGAGAGAGAGAGAAAGAAAGAAAAAAGAAGAGGUCAUCCUAGAAGAUUUCUAAAAUGUAAGAACGUUUGGGAUGAUUACUAAGGAGCUCUGUUGUGUUGCCCGGACUGAAGUCUACAGCUAGCUAUGGCCCUCUGAGCUGCCCUUCAUUUUCACAGAUCAAGAAAUCGAGGUAUAGAUUUUGCCCAACUCAGUAGCGAGUCAGAGAUCAGAACUAAAUCUUCCCAUCCUGACGCUGUUUUUAAAAAAUCCUGCACCGAACAGUGCAUCUUUCAAAAUGAUUAUUGUGAUUCACAGAAAAAGCUUAAAAUAUAUUCUUAACACGGUUUACUAAGUGAGAGAAAGAAAAAAUAAUCUUUGUAUAUGUGAAAAUAGAGGGAAGGGGUAAUUCUACGUAUUAGAGGGAACACGGUGAGCAAUUAAUUCCUUAGUAUCUGGAAGGCUGUAUAUUCCAAAACUCUGUUGAAGCACAAUUCUCUCUGGCAGAGGUGACCCGUUAAGCCAUUAUGCAAGCAGCAGGGCAGUGAGGGGAGCCCAACAGAUGCACCUGGGAGAGCGGGAAGAGGCUCAUAUAGGCAUAAACUGCGAAACACUUCCCCAGUUCACAAUAUUGUCCAGCGCCUGACCUAGGGAAACCCUCCUGCAACCUCGGACUCAAGGAGCCCAAGUUCGCACGCUUCCAGGCAUUCUAUUGAUUCACACUUGCGUCCUUCAACAGGUAGCGCCAAUUACAACCCCCAAAGCACGGCCCCCCAGCAUACUGGCCAAUACCGCUGUCAAUCAAAUACUUCACCUACCUUUCUAAAUUCUCCCCUCUUCCUUUCAUUGGCUUUUUCUUCGGCCUAUCCCCAAUUUCUCCCGCGCCUCGCGACCGCAGAACUUGGCCCUGUGGAUCCUAGGAUUGGAGCCGAGGCUGCUCCCGCCCUUUGACGUCCCGGUGCUCUCCGCCCCUUUUGCCGGCCCCGGGCCGCCCGGGAAGGAGGGGGCGGGGCGGCCAAGGGGGCGGUUCGGGGCGGGGCUUGCCUCCCACGGCGGGAGGGCGGAGCCUGCGGUGG